AUUGAACGCUGGCGGCAGGCUUAACACAUGCAAGUCGAGCGGGGAAGGGUAGCUUGCUACCUAACCUAGCGGCGGACGGGUGAGUAAUGCUUAGGAAUCUGCCAUUUAGUGGGGGACAACAUUCCGAAAGGAAUGCUAAUACCGCAUACGUCCUACGGGAGAAAGCAGGGGAUCUUCGGACCUUGCGCUAAAUGAUGAGCCUAAGUCGGAUUAGCUAGUUGGUGGGGUAAAGGCCUACCAAGGCGACGAUCUGGAGCGGGUCUGAGAGGAUGAUCCGCCACACUGGGACUGAGACACGGCCCAGACUCCUACGGGAGGCAGCAGUGGGGAAUAUUGGACAAUGGGCGGAAGCCUGAUCCAGCCAUGCCGCGUGUGUGAAGAAGGCCUUAUGGUUGUAAAGCACUUUAAGCGAGGAGGAGGCUACUUAGAUUAAUACUCUAGGAUAGUGGACGUUACUCGCAGAAUAAGCACCGGCUAACUACGUGCCAGCCGCCGCCGUAA
rnacentral:rRNA from 1 species